rnacentral:rRNA from 1 species
UACAGAGGGGGCAAGCGUUGUCCGGAUUUACUGGGCGUACAGCGCGCGCAGGCGGCCUCGUAUGUGACCGGUGACAUCCUCGGGCUCAACCCGAGGCGGCCCGGUUAGACAGCGGAGCUGGAGGCAGGGAGAGGGAUGUGGAAUACCCGGUGGAGCGGUGAAAUGCGUAGAGAUCGGGUGGAACACCAGCGGCGAAGGCGGGUAGCUGGGCCAACACUGACGCUGAUGCGCGAAAGCUAGGGUAGCAAACGGG